rnacentral:lncRNA from 10 species
CCCACUGGUUCAGACAGAAGCCUCUGGGAGAGCCCUCCAGAGUCCACCUUGAAGGCUUCAUUCCUUCUACCCAGAGCAUCUCCGUGGAGAGGAAGAAAAAGCAUCAACGAAAUGAGGUGCCCCAGCGGUUCUGGGGAGCAAUUCCUCUCUUCAUAUGACCAUUUGGGAAACCCCCAGUGAGAUGGAGUGUGCUUUUAAGCCAUGAAAACCAUGCACAUCAGCCCCACCACAGAGAUAAUGAUGCAGUGAAUAUUUGUGCACAUGUGUGAGAGGUUCUCCAGUCUGGAUCCAUGCUCUACAUCCUCACCAGCCCACCUGUGUGAUUUCAUCUUAGAUGGUAUCUUGGAAGCAAGACCUACCUGGACUUUUUAGAAAUCUAAUCUAAUCAUUUUCUGUCUUGGAGUAGUAGAGAUAGGGUUUCUUCAUGUUGGCCAGACUGGUCUCGAACUCCUGACCUCAGAUGAACUGCCUGCCUCAGCCUCCCAAAGUGCUGGGAUUACGGGUGUGAGCCACCACACCUGGACGUGUUUUGUUCUUAAAUUCUCUUUUUUCAUCUUUCCUGCCUUUUUCUAUUAUUCUGUGACCUAAUGAGUAAUGGAGGGAGCCCCAUGAAGAGUGGAGUCUGCCUUCAGGAGCAGACUCUGCCUGGCAUCCCAGAGGAGUCUGUGUCUUGAAGCAGUCAGUGCUCCCAGGGCUGAGCCGCUGGCCCUGAACAACCAUUCCUUGAAUAAAGAAAUAAAGAGUGAGGCUAACUCAAGACCCAUCCUGGCUCCAUAACUCUAUUUCCAAAGUCUUUUUUUUUUUUUUUUUUUUUUUUUGCUUAACAUUGCAGGGCACCUGCUCUAUGCUCACUGCUGGGAUCACACAGGGGAAUGAGUAGAGCUCUCCCUGGCCUCAGACACCCCCACUUAGUGAGAAGGUUACCUGUGGGGACAACUCCCUUGCCAGGUGAUAAUAGCUAUGAUGGAAGCACCCACAGAAUGUUUGAAAAGAUUUGGCAAAAGUGGGGCCACAGUGUUGCCUUUGGCAACAGCUAGGUGAAGCUGAUCAGCAGCCAUCCCUUUGGGUAGGUCCAUGCUCCAUUUCUCCACUGUCCUCACCAAGGCCAGACUAGGUCAGGCAAACAAGGCCCAAGAAGCCAACUUUAAGGAGGCACUCAUCUCCCAGUGCUAGCCUUGUACUUGCAAAGCCCCAAGAGUGAGUGCUUCCUUAAAACAUGCAUCCUGGGCACCUUCCUAGCCUUGCCCUAGCCCUAGUCCUGACCCUGGUCUCCAACACUCCCUACUGCCUCCCCAACAGUGAGGCCAUGUAUAAAUGGUCACAUCCUGCUUGCUCUGUUGUUUGUCUACUGCUAGAGUUAAGAGGAAUGUGAAUUUUCUGGUAUGCUUGUCUCCAUCAAAACUGAGUAAACAAAAUAUAAACCAAAAAGAGUCCUGGACUUCACCUGCCUGAUUCACCUAUUACAUUCCCCAUGGUCUUGAGUUUGAGAACCUGAGGUUCUCAGCCUGAUUGCAAGGUCCUUGAGUGCCAAGGGCAAAUGUCCCAUAGUAGGAACUUUAGUCAGAGGAGCAAUGGGAACAAAUGUCUUUUAGAAAAAUAACCCUUGCUUUGGUGGUCUGAGAGCUGAUGUGGACUGAGAAAUUGAGAGUCUCCUGCAAAGGUGAGGGCAUAGAGAGGGGAGGGUGAGGGCAGCUGUGCUCACUGCAGGAGUCAAAACAAGGUUGGAUGAGGUAGGACUUAAGAAUUACUAGAUGGCUCUAUCAAGACUUCCUGGUCAGUGGUGAGGCUUUAAACAAGAAAGGAGUACGGAAGAAAGUGGACAUUUGCUUUGGGUAAGCUGAGUUUGAAGUCAGGACAUCAGAGUAUACCGGAAUCACAAGGACCAUUGCUGAGAGGACUCCCACCACCAUACAGACCCCUCCCUCUACUCUGGGCUCUCUCCAGGGCAGGAGUCCCACAUGGCUUCUCAAGUGUGCCUCUGCUGGAGCCCAGCAUAAAAUAUCCCCCAGCCGGGCAGCCAGGUUAACUUAUUGUUAGCAGGCUGAAAAGGAGGCUGUUAUUUCACAGCAGAGAUAAAAGUUAAUCACAGAUUAGGACUGCCCAGAAAAUAUUGAUGACUUCAUCCACCUGAGUACUAGCCUGGGGGAAGUGUUCACCACUCCUUAGUUGUCAGACCAGUCCAGCCAGUUCCCUGACUCCCUCUUUAAAAUGCAGGCCCAGGCUUUAACAAAAGCCUGGACCCAUGAAUAGACAGCAUUCAUACGCGGGUUCUGAGUCAUUCUGCAGACCUACUGCGUGCCCUGCCUUCUAGACUUCUGAUUGGAGAAGGUCUCCGCUUACCUUCCGCCCUGCCUUGCCACCGGAACCUCCCUCCCACCCUCCCUCUCUCAUUAGAACUUUUAUCUGGCGGCACCAUCACCCUGGGAGACUCCAAAACAGAAAACCAGACAGACAGUGGUUACAAAAUAAAAGACCUGUGUUUGCAGAGGAGUAGUCGACUAUGUCAUUGUUAUUCCCAAAGAUGGAAGGCAGAAUCAUCAGAAAUUACAGUGACAGGGGUUCCUGCUCGGUAGUAUGCCGAAAAGGGAGUUGAAAGGCACAAGUGCGGACAAGAGGAUCAAUCAAAGCUCCGUUCUGUUCCCAAUCCUUCCAGUCCCGAUGCUCCAGAGAGCAGGGGAGGCACCUGUACACAGGUACUGGGCAUGACUGAUGAGGCAGUGCCCAGGAGCCCAACUUCCUCGAAGCGAGAGAAAGGACAGAGAUGCUAAGAUCUGCACACUUCCACAUUUUAGAGAAUUUGGGAGACCCAUGUUGGAUGUGGACCGUGGUUCUUAUUGGUAUUAUUUUCUGAGUGGUAGAUGUGCUUAAUCCCAGCACCUGCCUAAACUGAUGACAACAGCGGCUUUCCUACUGGAAGGACAUUGCCACUUGAUAGCAUAUGCUGUACCUCGCUUGCAUGUCCCUGCUUCCAAGCUUUGGGGAUUUCUAGGAUUGUUUUCUCCUAGUUUCCUUGUGUCACGUGGGCUCCUUUAUAAAAUAUCCCCAUAUAAUAGUGCAUGAUGUGCUCUAUUACAAAACACAAAUGUGUCUGUCCAAGACAGCCUGGGGGCAGCGAGCUGGGGCGUGGCAAGGAGACCAACUGGAAUGACGGGAGAGCCCUAGUGGAUGCACAGUGCACCGCUCUUACACCACAAGCCUCCCGCCCCAGCAUGAUUUAACCCGUGAAGAAAGCAGAGCAUUUAAUAUGUUCUACAGAUGUUUUAAAAAAGGAAUAACGGCGCUUGUCCCAAGUGUGGGAUGGAGGCACACACUCUUCUGAGAUGUGAAGCAAAUUUCAUAUCUCAAAAGAGAAAAAGGACAACAGUUCCUGCUCAGUCACCAAGUCUGAUUCUCAACCCUGGAACGCCUCAGCCUGCCUGAGCCCAGAAAUGAGGCUCCUUGUGAACACUAUGGAAAUGCAAUGGCUGUUUUGAUUUUCCAUAAUGGACAGCACACUGGUCCAGGAGGCAUAUCCAAUCUAAAUGAACUAGCAUCUGUGAAACUUCCUAGCACAGUCCCAGCACAUCGCAGGAGCUGAACUAAUGUUCUUUUCCCUUCCCAAGGAACCCUGAAGCCUUUGAAGGAACCGUGAUUGGGAAGGCAUCAGCAUUUGCUUUUCGCUGGUAUAAAUUUGGACCACUGGUCUGCCCGGGGUGUCCCCUGCCAGUGGUCGUGGACUGCUAGGGAAGCACAGCACACCCCCCAACACCCCCCCGCAAGGAAGACCCCUCAUUGCCCACCAAUGUCCUCUUUCUGGCGUCCCUCACGUUCCUGGCCGAGACCCUCCGUUCAGUCACGCCAUGAGGUCAGGGCCACGGUUGCCAUUGUCUGCUGGAAGCCAGUGCAGCACUUGGAGCUUAGAAGAUGCACACAACUCUUUGUUAAAGAACAAAGAAAUGGGAGAAACUUUUUAAAAGAAAAUAAACAGAGAGAAAGAGGGUGAGACGAAGACUGUGGCUGAGGCUUUGUUUUCAGGCCGAAAGCAGGACACUCAGCUCAUUCUCAAUGAAACUUCAACAUCGAUAAUUCAAAUGUCUUAGAAAUUGUACAUUGGAAGGGGAAAUAAAAUGAUUUUUCAGCUCUUUUAGGCUUACAGAUACCUAAAUGAAGCAUAGAUUGUAGAAUGUUGUUCAGAAGGGAAUUAAAUUUGGAUUUCAUCCUUCCCAGGGACUGGGGGCACUGCUUGUCACUUUGACUCAAAUGGAGAGUCCCUGCCACUGCUUGCUUGCCUUCAUCUGACCACACUGUGCUAAGCGCCCAGCCCCAGGGUAUAGCUGAGCCCUGCACCAGCUGCAGUGAACCGCUUGGCCGGGUGCCCUCUUAGAUCCUCCCUGCCCUGUUCCCUGGCUCUCUGUCCCCUGCGGUCCUCUUCUCUAGGACUGUUGAAACUUCUCCGCAUCUGGUCAGCUUCACACAAAAGGGCUCCUAUUUUACAGGCUGAGAGCCCCUUCCUGUGUGUUGUCAAAACUGACACAUCGCAUUGCUUAGGUUUAAUCUUCAGGUACUUUUUCUGUUUUUUUACCUAUAAAAUUAAUAUAAGCAUAUGCUCCCGUAAUCAACACAAUUUAGAUAAAGCAAGAGUUCCUCUGGGCCCUCCCACUUCCAUUUGCAUUUUCUUUUCUGUGGACUAACUGGUCAUCUUCUUUAUCCACUUGUCUAUGAGGUUGUUGAUCUUGGUCUUUUUUCUUAUUAACAGAUAGGAAUUCUUCAUAGAGCCUAGAUAACAAUCCAGAAUUCAUGUGUAUACGCACGCAUUUAUCUAUAUGUAUAUGUAUAAGCACAUUACACACAUACAUUUGCACACAUACAAAUGUUAGAAAUAUCUUCUCCAACUCUGUUGCUUGUCUUUUAUCUCAGCUUAUAGAGGUUUCCGAUUUUGAAUCAGAAGUUUCACAUUUCAUUGAAGGUAGACAUCACUCUUUCUCUAUUUGCUUUUGUGAUUUGUGUCUUGCUCAAGGCCUUCCCUGUCCUACCCCCAUGUCAAAAGCAUGUUCUCCACUAUUUUCUUUCAGUCCUUAAUCUUUCUUCCGUAGGUAGCCAAUGUCCAGCACGUUUGGUAAUGACACCUCCUCGGUGAAGCGCAAGGCCACCUUGACCCCAGCUCCCAUGGGUCUGUCUUCAGGGGAAUUUUGAGGUUGUUUUUGCUGCAGGGUGUCAGGAACUCCUUCCUCUCUGAUUCUUGGAAAAGUUUACUGUUUGCUGCUGGCUUUGUGGUCUCUCCUCCCUGUGCAGGUAGGGUGUGGAGGGUAAUCAGAGUCAGUCCAGAGGUUGCUCAAAGUUUCAGUUUAUCUCCAGCCACUAUUUGCUAACUCAUCUGAGAAUUCUGCCAAGAUAAACAUCAGACAGACCCUCCUAUGGUUCAAUCAGUCUGCUCCUGGGAAAAUUAGGACAUGUGUCUGCCCGGCUCUGCUGGUGUUCCUGAGAGUGACUGGUCUCUGUGUGACCUUUCAUUGGCCAGGCUCCCCCAAGGGAAACGUCCACCAGCAGAAAAAGUAGGAAAAAAAUCCCUUUAUGCAGAGAAAAUACACUGCAGAAACAAACAUAGUCUAACCCUGCCUUUUAAAACAUAGCUUUUAGACUGAAAGAGUUCACCCUUCCUCUCUCCACCUGGUCACUCUUGGGAUGACAAUUUCAAAUCCCACAUAACAUUCACAGUGUGUUAUUCCCAUGCAAUUACCUUGUUAGGUUUCAUACAUUUAGAACACGGAGGGGGACAGGGGAUGCUUCUCCGCAGUCUCUUCGUUAUUGGGACAUACUCCAACGCUCAGACAGCUCCACAAUGCACCUUUCUCCCACUCUUCAUUCCUUUUCUGGCAACACUCUUUCUCUCUCAGAGGAUUUUAAAAACAUGUCUUGUUACAAAAAGCAAAGAAUGACAGUUGCUUCAGAAAAAUACCCAACUGAAAGAUCCACUCCCUGACCAUGGAGAGCUCACUACAGAUCUAGAAACGCGAGGCAGAGACUUGAAGAUGCUGCACACAUCCUGUGUGGGAGUGGGAGAAAAGCUGCUGCUUCCUUAGCAUUAAAACAGACAGGGUCAUUUCAGCCUUGCAGGGGAUGACCAGCCCUCACUGGAAUUAUGUGAUGGCAUCACAUUUGCUCCUCAUGUAAACAUUCCAGCGGGAGAACGACUGCUCCCUGAAGACACUCAUGGUGUGAUAAACAGCAGUCAGUGGAAUCAAGGCAGGGGCGAGGUCCUCUUCCUUCUGCCUCCUUCUCACCAUGGCACCUUGAGAGAGGCCCUUUGUCCCUCGGGUUUUUCCAUUUUCUCAUUUGCAAAAUGAAGAGGAUCCCAUCUACACCGUCGUGUUUAGAAAUGACACAAGAUCACAAAAACCUCUGCCGCCUCGAAGAUACAGAAUUGCUGGUGAGGCUCGUUGUCUGAGAGCCGGGCUCUGCUCCCCUCGGGGCCAAGUCUACCAAUUGUUCUUUGGAAAACAAAAGCUGGAGGCAUUAAAACUGGGCUGUUCCAAGUGUUCUUUACGUUUUAUAAAUUUUAUAAGGUGAAACUCAAUAUUUAGAUGAUUGGUAGAAACGUCUCUUGGGGGCUUUAUGGUUUUCUAACAUAGAGUGGGGGGACAUGUUACCUCGGCAGGAGCAUGUGGGCUGAGAGGAGGGAACCACAUCAGGGAGGCCGGUGACUGGAGAGGGAAGUCCUCCUCCUGUGGAGGGCCUGGCCCUCAUGGAUUCCCCACUUCCAGGCAACUUUGUGACCUCAGAGAAGCUAACCUGAUGUGCAUGCUACUGACGUUGCCCAUGCCGCUCCUGCUGGCUGAUGGAACUAUCUGUCUGGAGUCUGUGGAUGGCAGACCUCCUGAUUGUGUGGAGCGUGAGUUUUUCGAAAGAGAUCUCUCACUUUCAUCCAGGCUGGAGUGUAGUGGCACACACCACCACACCAGGAUAAUUCUU